rnacentral:rRNA from 1 species
GCGANACAUGCAAGUCGAGCGAAUCGAUGGGAGCUUGCUCCCUGAGAUUAGCGGCGGACGGGUGAGUAACACGUGGGCAACCUACCUAUAAGACUGGAAUAACUUCGGGAAACCGGAGCUAAUACCGGAUACGUUCUUUUCUC